AUUGAACGCUGGCGGCAGGCCUAACACAUGCAAGUCGAACGAGUGGCGGACGGGUGAGUAAUGUCUGGGACACUGCCUGAUGGAGGGGGAUAACUACUGGACACGGUAGCUAAUACCGCAUACCAGCGGCUAUGCCCAGAUGGGAUUAGCUAGUAGGUGGGGGAAAGGCUCACCUAGGCGACGACCCCUACCUGGUCUGAGAGGAUGACCAUCCACACUGGGACUGAGCCACGGUGCAGACUCGUACGGGAGGCAGCAGUGGGGAAGAGUGCACAAUGGGCGCAAUCCUGAUGCAGCCAUGCCGCGUGUAUGAAGAAGGCCGUCGGGUUGCAAAGUACUUUCAGCGUGGAGGCGGUACCCUCAGAAGAAGCGCCUGCUAACUCCGUGCAAGCAGCCGCGGUAAUUC
rnacentral:rRNA from 1 species